rnacentral:rRNA from 1 species
GUAGGGAAUAUUGGGCAAUGGAGGCAACUCUGACCCAGCCAUGCCGCGUGCAGGAUGACGGCCCUCUGGGUUGUAAACUGCUUUUAUACGGGAAGAAAAAAUACUACGUGUAGUAUACUGACGGUACCGUAAGAAUAAGGAUCGGCUAACUCCGUGCCAGCAGCCGCGGUAAUACGGAGGAUCCAAGCGUUGUCCGGAUUUAUUGGGUUUAAAGGGUGCGUAGGCGGAUCUUUAAGUCAGUGGUGAAAGCCUGCAGCUUAACUGUAGAAUUGCCAUUGAAACUGAAGAUCUUGAAUGUGGUUAAAGUAGGCGGAAUGUAUCAUGUAGCGGUGAAAUGCUUAGAUAUGAUACAGAACACCGAUAGCGAAGGCAGCUUGCUGAACCAUUAUUGACGCUGAGGCACGAAAGCGUGGGGAGCGAUCAGGAUUAGAAACCCGUGUAGUCC